rnacentral:lncRNA from 10 species
CCUCUUUUGUUCUCCUCUCUACUUUAGAGACAUUAAUUAGAAUCUCUAAUACUUUCCUGCCUAAUAAUCAAGCACGUAGAAAAUAUUAGUUAGGUAUUCCUGAAACAGUCACAGGGCCAGGACACAGAUUCUACAAGCCACAAGAUGGGGAAGUUAUGGGUGAGGCCAAAAGCCAUCUAAAGCAAAUUUGGAAUUAUACCAAGGUGCUGUAAAAGCUGGCAGGACCAACUAUUCUUUGGAUAAAGUAACAGAUACAUAGCCGAGGAGCUUUUUAUAAUAAAAGACACAACGGUGUAAGUAUCAAUCUGGAUUUCACUCCUGCCUCAACCACUGUGAUAAGAGAACUCAAUGGGAGGAAAAUGUUAAAACUACAGAGAAGAAAGAGGAUAAUUAUGAAAAGAGACCCUGAGAAAGCAAGAGGACAGCAUGGGCUCUAAAUCACAGACAAAUUGAACUGGGACUGAUAGAGGGCGAGUUUUGCCUCUCGGACAGGACAAAAGCAUGAGUGAAGAUACAAUUCAAUGUGUGUGUAAAAAACAGGAAGGUGGGUGGAUAAGUGGUUCAAACAGACCUGAUGUCUUUUUGUGUGUGUGUGUGAAAUAGCAGGCAAGCCCAUCUCCUGAGAUAAAUGCAUAAUAGCUGAGUUGGAGGCUUAAAAAGAGAGGAAAAAGUUUGUAAUAGCCACUAAAGAGGAUGUAAAAGAGCCAAGGGAAUUCCAGCAGAAUCUGAGUAAGGACAUGGAGAAGGAUCAUCUGGUUAGCACUGAUUCAUUCUGCAGUUCUCAGCUCAGACGUCACCUGCUCAAAGAAGAUGAAGUCCCUGUUAAAUGUUUUCAGAGAACUGGCUACCUUUCUUUUAGAGACUUAUCAUGGUUUUAAUCUUAUAUUAAUUUGUGAGAUUAUCUGAUUAAUUUAUAUUUCAUUGGACUGCAAUCAUAUUUGUGAGGUCAGGGAUCAUAUUUAUCUUGCUCAUCAUUGUAUCAUUUAACCCUUAUUUUCCCAUCUCUAAAAUGUGGAGAACUAUAAUUCCUCUCUACAUGACCAGGAUAUGGAUAUAGUUAGGUUAGCGUGAAACUGGAAUUUAAGAUAUGAGAAGACAGGGACUUCCGAUUGUUCAUUGAUGUAUCCCUGGUGCCUAGCACAGUGCAUGACACAUUGUAGAAGCUCAAUAAGUAUCUACCUGAAUGAAUGAAACAAAUAUGGCUUCAUAUUUGGUGUCAUAGGACACCAAGUCUCUUGACUUCCAUUCUAGUGCUCUUCCCAUUCUCCCACAGCUAUCCACAGCAGAUGAUUGACACAUUAUGUUUAUUAUGCUAAGGGUCAAUGCAUAUGCAUUAUUAUCUUUGUUUUACUCAAGAAGAAAGUGAAGCUCUGAGAGAUGAAGUAUCAUGUGCAAAUUAAACAGCUGGUAAGUGGUGGAUCAAAAUUCAAUCCUAGGUCUGCGUCACUCCAAACUCUGAUCCCUUUCUAGUAUUCCACACUGCCUACUCAGAUAUUAGACAAUAAAAGUUUUCAUACAUGAACCUUUCUAGGGGUAUGCAUAGUUGAAAUUGAAACUUUCCCAUCAACCUCCCCACUGGCAAAGAAAACUAAACAAACAAAAAAGCAUUACUUUAGUGGUAAAAAUCUCAGGAAAAGUAACUAUGACAGGCCAAUGAAGAUAACAUUUAUGGGCAUUCACCUAUCACUGCCUCCCACAUCACACCAUGGAAGCACCUACCAAUCUACUCUAUGUGACCCUAUACAUUAUUCAUCUCCCCAGAAUAAAUUUUUACCCCACAGGCACAAUGGAAGACCCAAUUCUAAAGAGCUUAUCUUCUCAGAAUUGUCUCAGAGUGACCACAGAAGCAGCAUGGAGUAAUGGAAAAAGCCACAUAGAUCUUGGCAUGACAGUGAUACGGGAGGGGGACAGGAAAGUGCUGGGUAGAGAAGGAUGGAGUCCCUGGCAAGGGCUCCACCCUGGAGCCUGUGCCCAUGGACCUAAGCGAGAACAGGCACUCCUGUUUUCAUACCCAAAUGUUGCAUUUUCCAAGACCACUCUGGCCCACCAUGUCCCCCAUCCUGUGCCCAUAAAAACUUGAGACCAUAGCGGACAUGGACACGAGCAGUUGGACAUCAAGAAGAGCAGAGGAACACACCAGCAGACACCAGCAGACAUCAGCAGACCAGUGAUGGCAGAACAACGUGGACACCGAGGGGAGUUUGGCCAGGAGCGGUUGGGGGAGUAUCCAGGGGAAGACCACCUUCCCACUACAUCCUCCUUCUGACUCCUCAUCCAUCUCACUGAGAGCCACCUCCACCACUCAAUAAAACCUUGCAUUCAUCCUCCAAG